rnacentral:sRNA from 1 species
GACUACAGGAGGGAAACCAGCAGAAAUGUAAACAGGGCUGUAGUUUUGUCCGACUUUCAUGCCUUCCCACCCUGCACUGACUCAAGGAAGCCAGAGGUCUGGAAUGUAAUAAAGAACCCAGCAUGGGCUCCUCCCCUGCCUGCUACCUCCAACUGCAGCCAGGGGUGAACUACCUACUUCCUGGUUCCCUGACCUUCAGAAAGGCCAAGUUAACCCUACCUCACCACUGACAUUAUGACACAAGUCAGUGCUAUGAUGUCUGACCUUGGAUUGGUGCUUUAAGAACAAAACUGAAACCAGGAAUCAAGAGAAGUCAAAAAAGUCAAGGCUUUGUGUGGGCCUCCUUAAGUGACAUCAAGAAUCCUGCACAUGCCCCUCUGCCUAUAAGCAGCCAUGUGGCCUUGGCCUGGUUACUUUGAACCUGUGUCUUCACCUGCGGACUGGAGAGGUCCCUGCCUGAUGGGUAAUAAGGCCUGCUCCAACUGAGGGGGUCUAGGAGCUCGGGUGGCUGCCUGACCCUAUGGUAAAGUCUCAGUGGACCAGCCCAGCUGAAGAGGAAGCAUGGACUCUAACUGGUUGCAGUCUCAUGCUAAAGGAAGCAGUGUAACUAAAGAGUAUCAUCUGGUUCAGUCCUUCAGAAGCCCCAGGCAAACACUGACUCUUAAUGCAGCAACAAAGCCAGUUUCUUCAGCUUUCUAUUCUCUGCUACCCCUGUGCACACCUGGGACAGGCCCCAAAGGCCAGGCCCAUCCUAGUCUGGAUCUAUUACACCCCUGGGGACACCUGAGAUUAGACUGGGGAGUUUGUUGUUUUUAAUAUGUUACAAAACCCAUGAGAAACCUUCCCCCACAGUAAGACCACAAAGGCUGAUUCAAAGACUUUCUUUGAGCUGAUCAGGAGUCCUGACUGGUUAACGACAUCAUAGGAAUCAUAGAACGUUUAUUUUAUUUAACACUCAAAGACGCCUGUUAAUUUGGAAAUGGAAAAAUCAAAUAGUUACUUUAUCUGUACAGUUUGGCAGAUAAAAAUCACAGGGCAACAGGACAUGUAACACAAGAGCCUUGAUCACAGAAAGGUUUGGAAUGGCUUCUUGAGGGGCUGAGCCCAUGGGUUUCAAGGCUGAAUAAAGUCCCCUUUUCUCUCACCCUCUGGGGUCUGCGAUACUA